UACGAACUGUGCAAACGUUAUUCGGAUUCACUGGGCUUAAAGGGUGCGUAGGCGGCCAUGUAAGUAGGGUGUGAAAUCCCCCGGCCUAACCGGGGAACUGCGCCCUAAACUGUAUGGCUGGAGUGAGAUAGGGGUGUGUGGAACUUCCGGUGGAGCGGUGAAAUGUGUUGAUAUCGGAAGGAACGCCGGUGGCGAAAGCGACACACUGGGUCUCAACUGACGCUGAGGCACGAAAGCCAGGGGAGCGAACGGG
rnacentral:rRNA from 1 species